ACUGAUGUUUUCAACGAGUAUAUAGCCUUGGCCGACAGGCCCGGGUAAUCUUCGGAAAUUUCAUCGUGAUGGGGAUAGAUCAUUGCAAUUGUUGUUCUUCAAC
rnacentral:rRNA from 1 species